rnacentral:rRNA from 1 species
AUACGAAAGGUGCAAGCGUUGUUCGGAUUUACUGGGCGUAAAGAGAGUGUAGGUUGUUUAUUAAGUCGGAUGUGAAAUCCCGGGGCUCAACCUCGGAACUGCAUUCGAUACUGGUAGACUAGAGUUCGGGAGGGGUAAGCGGAAUUCCGUGUGUAGCAGUGAAAUGCGUAGAUAUACGGAGGAACACCUGAGGCGAAGGCGGCUUACUGGACCGAUACUGACACUGAGACUCGAAAGCGUGGGUAGCGAACAGGAUUAGAAACCCCAGUAGUCC